UGCCUCCCAGUGCUUACCACAGGCUGUGUUCUUACACGGAUUAUAUAAAAAGAACGCAAAGUAAAUCUACCCCAUAUACACCUCAGCCCAGGCCCUAUGCCUGCUAUGUACUGUGAACGGGAAGACAUGG
rnacentral:snoRNA from 1 species